GCUCACGGUGUCGUAGGGGAGCAGCGGGCCGCGCUGGAUCAGCUCCACCGGGCCUUCCACCGUCAGCUCCGGGUCCGCGGAGGGCAGGCGGCGCCGCGAGAUCUUAGCUUUGACGGCUGCGGAGAGAAAACACGUGUGUGAAUGUCAGAGGGCCUCACCUUUGGAGAAGGCGCUGAUGUGUUUGGGCAGCGGUGUCAGACACGUGUCGUCCUGCGCGGGGAAUCGGUCGCAGUCCAGGGCUUCGGGCCAGGCGUGUCCGUGACAGGCCAGUACAGGAGCGCAGCUCUCCCUCACAGCUACGCACAUGCUCCGACACGGCUGGAUGAACCUGCGGACGCAAGCACACCUGAGUUUAGAGAGAGUCCUCCUUCUGCAGCAUACAGUUAAACUGCUGCUUUCUUCUGCCCAGAGGAGAACGGCACAUUAUUUCCACACACGAUUAAUCCUAAAUUUUUCCCAGACAUGUAAAUAUCCAAAUGAUGUGUCAUUAGUAGCCUUUUGAAAUAAUCAAUAAUAAUUUUUUUUACUUUUUUUUUUUUUUUGGAAAAGUGUAUGAAAAAUCGGUCUCAAACUCUCAGUUGUGACCGGUGUUUGCUGAAUUAACAUGUAUAUGCAGUCAUAAACAUUGUUAUAUAUCUUAGCCCAGCUAUUUGAAACUGUCUGAUCACAUUCUAGGCUUACUAUUAUGCAUAAAACAAAUCCUUAUCCAACACUGACAGAAAUACUGAGAUAAAAGACAAGACAAUUUCAAAACUGUUAUUUUUUGUAACAUAUGUCAUCAAAUGUUUAUAUUAGUGCUACCAGUAUCACAACAUCAGUAUUGUUACAUUUGAACUUUUAAGUAAGUGCAACUUUUUGUCAUUGCAACAUUUUAGUGCGAUCUUCACUAACAGCUGUUGAGGACUACUGUCUAAGUUUAACCCUACCUCGCUUACACGUUUGAAAAUGAUUAACAGUUGAAAACAUUAGAAGUUUAGAAAAGUAUUCAAAUGUGAUCAGGUACAUUAAUAAAGUAAUUGAAAGAGACACACUACUUGUAAUUAACUUGUAAUCUGUAACAUUUCCAAAUUAGCCUUCCCAACACUGUAUAUAAAUACCGGUGAC